UACGGAGGAUCCAAGCGUUAUCCGGAUUUAUUGGGUUUAAAGGGUGCGUAGGCGGCCUAUUAAGUCAGGGGUGAAAGACGGUAGCUUAACUAUCGCAGUGCCUUUGAUACUGAUGGGCUUGAAUCUACUUGAGGUAGGCGGAAUGUGACAAGUAGCGGUGAAAUGCAUAGAUAUGUCACAGAACACCGAUUGCGAAGGCAGCUGACGAAACUGUAACUGACGCUGAGGCACGAAAGCGUGGGGAUCAAACAGG
rnacentral:rRNA from 1 species